AGAGUUUGAUCAUGGCUCAGGGUUAACGCUGGCGGCGUGCCUAACACAUGCAAGUCGAACGGUUCUAAGCGCGAGCUUAGGAUAGUGGCGAACGGGUGAGUAAAAGGUAGGAAUCUACCCCUUGGACGGAGAUAGCUACUGGAAACGGUAGGUAAACUUCGAUAAGCCCGAGAGGGGAAAGUGGUGAGACAGCCGAGGGAUGAGCCUACUCUCCAUCAGGUAGUUGGUGAGAUAAAAGCUUACCAAGCCGAUGACGGAUAACCGGUGUGAGAGCAUGAACGGUCACAAGGGCACUGAGAGACGGGCCCUACUCCUACGGGAGGCAGCAGUGGGGAAUCUUGGACAAUGGGCGAAAGCCUGAUCCAGCGACGCCGCGUGGAGGAAGAAGUCCUUCGGGAUGUAAACUUCUGAACUAGCCGAAUAAAAGGCCUGUGGACACACAGGAGAAGAAAGUAGGCUAGGAAAAGUCCCGGCUAACUACGUGCCAGCAGCCGCGGUAAGACGUAGGGGGCAAGCGUUACCCGGAAUUACUGGGCGUAAAGGGGGCGUAGGCGGUAAAAGAAGUCAUCUGUGAAAACCUAUUGCUCAACGAUAGGCUAGCGGAUGAAACUGAAUUACUUGAGGGCACCAGAGGUAGACGGAAUUACCCGAGUAGGGGUGAAAUCCGCAGAUACGGGUAGGAACGCCGGUGGAGAAGUCGGUCUACUGGGGUGCACCAGACGCUGAGGCCCGAAAGCUAGGGGAGCAAACCGGAUUAGAUACCCGGGUAGUCCUAGCCGUAAACGAUGCUCACUAGGUGUANGGAGUGAUAAACUCUCUGUGCUGAAGCGAACGCGCUAAGUGAGCCGCCUGGGGAGUACGUCCGCAAGGAUGAAACUCAAAGGAAUUGACGG
rnacentral:rRNA from 1 species